CUACGGGGUGCAGCAGUGAGGAAUAUUGCACAAUGGGGGGAACCCUGAUGCAGCAACGCCGCGUGGAGGAUGACGCAUUUCGGUGUGUAAACUCCUUUUAUAUGUCAAGAAAAUGACGGUAGCAUAUGAAUAAGCACCGGCUAACUCCGUGCCAGCAGCCGCGGUAAUACGGAGGGUGCAAGCGUUACUCGGAAUCACUGGGCGUAAGGACGCGUAGGCGGGCUUGUAAGUCAGGUGUGAAAUCCUACAGCUUAACUGUAGAACUGCACUUGAAACUACGAGCCUAGAGUAUGGGAGGGGGAGAUGGAAUUAGUGGUGUAGGGGUAAAAUCCGUAGAUAUCACUAGGAAUACCUAAAGCGAAGGCGAUCUCCUGGAACAUAACUGACGCUAAGGCGUGAAAGCGUGGGGAGCAAACAGGAUUAGAUACCCGCGUAGUC
rnacentral:rRNA from 1 species